UUACAUGUGCUAUAUAUAGCUAUGCGAUUUCGGCUCGCUUAUCAUAAGUGCAAUUCUUAUCAUGUAAU
rnacentral:tRNA from 1 species